GGCUAUUUUUCCAAGGAAGAGUUUGAAGAAAUAAGUGACUGGGAGAUGGUCCGUUAUAAGAACGUGAAGUGGAAUUAUGAAGCCGCGCUUGCCAUUGUGACGGCCACUGAGAACAAGAGUUUGACAGUCGAUAUUCCAGACACGAGCAGUGGACACAACCCAGAUCGGGGACUGACGGGAUAUCUGGGAUCGGACAAUGAUCGGGCGAUUGUUCUUCC